rnacentral:rRNA from 1 species
UACGGAGGGUGCAAGCGUUAAUCGGAAUUACUGGGCGUAAAGCGUGCGCAGGCGGUUUUGUAAGUCUGAUGUGAAAUCCCCGGGCUCAACCUGGGAACUGCAUUUGUGACUGCAUGGCUGGAGUGCGGCAGAGGGGGAUGGAAUUCCGCGUGUAGCAGUGAAAUGCGUAGAUAUGCGGAGGAACACCGAUGGCGAAGGCAAUCCCCUGGGCCUGCACUGACGCUCAUGCACGAAAGCGUGGGGAGCAAACAGG